rnacentral:tRNA from 1 species
AAGGAUUUAAGUUAAAAAAACUCACAGCCUUCAAAGCUGUAAAUAAAGAAUUCUCUUUAAGCCUUA